CAUUUACAGUGGUUAAAUUUUGUUACCUUUGUGGCAAGCCUUUUCCAGUACUCAGUACUUGCCUACAAACCAGAGUCCCACUGUUCUUUGUCUUCGUUCUUUACGUAGGUGGUCAGGUUCAGGUAUCUUUCUGUUGUAAGUAGUAAUAAAGAGUCAGCACCCUUUCAAGUAGGCUUGUGAUCAAUGUUCCUUUAUAAGAAUUAUAUUUCAUUUUCUGUGCUUAUUUUUCUACUAUAUAAAAUGUAUUUAAUUGGUUAGUAUCCAUAAUUUCCUUUUAAGUAUUUUAUUUAUUAUAAUUGAUGUGAUACUUAAGUGUAUAAAUAUUUGAGACAGUAACAAACACAGAGUACAUUGCACCUGUUGUAGAUGUUUGUGCUCACUUGCAUUUCUGUUCAGUACCUGAAAGCAGGUGGCAAACUCUACAUCCAUAGUAUAGACUACUGCCAUAUUACAUUUUCAAAGGAAGUUGGAUAUUUCCUGUACAGCUCAGAUCCAAUGGCAUUUUGUCCUGUUCUGUGAGAGCACUGAGUUUCCAAUACUUCUGAGCUGUUUCUUAAGCAUGUGGCAAAUAUUCUUAGCUCCCCACAGAGUAAGUAAAUGCUGUUUUAACCUUUGGGACAGAAUGUUUGGGGCCAGGAAACUUGAUUUGGCAAAGGAUAGGUAACAUAGAGGUUUGGGAAAAUGUCUUAAGGGAAUUCUAGUGUUCUCUAGCCAUUGCAAACUAAAUUACAGAAGUAGGAAGAAAUUCUAUGCAUCUUUAGAUCACAUGCAUAGAAUUGCCCAAAGUGGAUUAUUUUUAGCAACUUUGAAAUCAUUUUAGUUUAUUCUAAACAAUGUACCAAUUAGUGUAAUUCCCUCAUCUGAGAUCACAUAGUUGGAUUCUUUUUAAAAUAGUAGUUGGCAAUAUCUAGUACUAUCUGUGGAGUUCUAUUGGACUUCUUAGCAUAUGAUGGGAGUGUCGCCAUGGUGCUUACAGUCAUAGGUGACCUCCAUUGAAGUGGUUCCUUUUCAUUCAGCAGCACAUUGGUUUCUGAAGUUUCUGUUUGCUGCUAAUUAUAACCCAUCCCACCCCCGAUGUACCCAAACAUUUCCUUGUGUCAGGACAUCAAAGGGUUAAAUGUAUUUUACAGGAAGUGACUUUAAAAUUUAAACUACAAAUUACCUGGUAUCAUAAUCUUCCUGUGACUUAUUAAAUUAUAUGUGCAUUAUCCAGAGUGGGGGCGGGGGCAUGACGUACAGAAUACUUUGCAUCUAAGAUGCUUCACUGUGGUUUUGGUUAUUGAUGCUUUCUGCUUUCUUUUGACUACUUGACUUACAAAGUGAUCUGAUGCGACCACUCCACUGAAGAGCAGGGUAACUGACUGCUUCCUUCAGGUGGUCACAUUUCUCGUGCUAUUUUCGAAAAUAACAAUCAUGAAUAACAUUCAUUGCAAGACAGCAAGAGAGAUAAUUUAGUAUAUAUAUUGAUUUUUUUAAAUGCUGCCUUAAAUAGGUGUAUAUGAGCAGUAGUAAUUGCUAUGUACUGAUUUACCUCAAGGUGCAAAAUAAUUAAACUUGUACAUACCCAUUUACAGAAUAAGUUCAGAGACACAGCCCUGCACUUUCUAGAUGCCUUGAUUUUCAGAUGGAGCUUAGUGCUACUGAACACCAUGGCCAUGGGGCCACCUCAGGACGUUCUUCCCUCCACCAUAUUUUAUUUAUUUAUAGAUGUGUGUUUACAAAGACUGUAAUGAAGCCUGGUGUUAACUAUCUGAAACUUACUUCCUUUCUCUUGCUAUUUCAAUCUAAAGUAGGAGCCUUUGAGAAAACAGUAAACUAGCUUCCCAAUGCUAAAGGGGUGAUUCUAUAUAUAUUUUUAAUAAUAUUAGAUACGCAAAGUGAAGUACAAAGUCUUUAAAAUAUUGUGUGAGUGUUUGUGUAUGUGUAUGAAAUCACUCUUUAACUCUCUUAACUUUUUUAAAACUCGUGGUGUACCAAUGUUCAGAUUUGCCAAGCUUUCCCUAAGACACGUAGGAUGAAAUGUUUUUGCGUGUUAAUGCAUGUAUUUGUAAAGACUUGUUUACUGCUGAAAAUCACUGACUCUUGUUUCCAUCCCCAAAGUGUUUGUUCCUUUUGCAUACUGGAAGGUUGGAUUGAGCAUAAGCUUUCUGGCUUUCCUUUCACAAAGGCAGGUUCAAAAUUGUGCAGACAGAAGAAUGGCUGCUGGCGGUGAGCUGUGGCAUCAGAACUGCCUGUAGUGUCACCAGUGUGGGCAGUGUCACCAGUGUAGGCAGUGUCACCAGUGUGGGCAGUGCCAGCAUUGUGGGAAGCUCAGCAGCUUCAAGUCUGCGACCUGACCAAGUGCUCAGAGUGGGAUGUGGGAGCCAUUAACAGAGCAUUGUAAUUCAGAUGGUUAUUUAAGUAACUUCCAUGUCUGAAAUUUAUUUAUGUUAUCAUUUGUAGCACAAAUACAUGAACUGUCUUCAUUUAGUCCAACAAUUAUUUAUUUUUAGAAAGUAAAUUGAAAGACAAGCUGCAUUCAACUUUUAAAAUAGUGUUCUAAUCACAAGAUGUGAUCAUUUAAAUUGUAAGGUCUCUUUUAACUUCCUGGAAAGUAGAUUGUCAAAAGGAAUCAUGUAAAGAUUAUUUUAAAAUUUUAACUGUAUGUAGUUAGAGUGUAAACCCCAGCUCUGUGGUCUCUAAUCAUAUUUUUUGCACAUUCAUUGUUUCUGUUCUGUAGCUUUUCUUGUAUUCCUUUAAGAUAUUUGGCAUUGUAGGGGUAAGGUGUCUUCCAGUGUUUACUAUGUUAAGCUUAAAUUAAAAUUUAAAUUUAUUGUCCAUUUAUAUAAUAUUUGAUACUUUGGUGUAACUUCUCAAUACAGUUACAAUUUUUAUGACAUUUAUAAUUGCAAUCGUAUUUUCUUUUGUAAUAAAAUCCAAAGUCAAUUAAACAAAUUGUAGACCUGGUA
rnacentral:lncRNA from 1 species